UCUCCGUUGGUGAACCAGCGGAGGGAUCAUUGCUGGAACGCGCCCCAGGCGCACCCAGAAACCCUUUGUGAACUUAUACCUACUGUUGCCUCGGCGUUAGCUGGUCCUUCUGGGCCCCCUGGAGACAGGGAGCGGCGCGCCGGCGGCCCACUUAACUCUGUUUCUUAGUGAAUCUCUGAGUAAAAAAACAAAUGAAUCAAAACUUUCAACAACGGAUCUCUUGGUUCUGGCAUCGAUGAAGAACGCAGC
rnacentral:misc_RNA from 1 species